rnacentral:misc_RNA from 1 species
AAGUCGUAACAAGGUUUCCGUAGGUGAACCUGCGGAAGGAUCAUUAACACGUAUCCAACGUUAAACCCCCCUGUGAACCUUCAUUGUGCUCCCACGCUUUGUUAGAAAGUGGCAAUCCCUGGUAAAUCAUCGCCGAACAGUUUUGAUUCAGGGACUUCUGCGAAGAGGGUGAAUGAGGCGAGGCAAUGGACCUGGCAUUCCUCUGCUUGUUGGUGUCUGAAAGUGACUCUGUACGAAUGGCGCAGUCACGUUCGCUGGAGGCCGACACGGCCGGCGACCGGGUCCCUGGGCGCCAAAGUCCCCUAAUAACCCCUUGCACGAUUCCCCGCCCAGCGUGAAAACCCUGGGUAAAAAAACCGAACAACUGUUAACAAUGGAUAUCUUGGUUCUC